GGAGAAGUAGCGAAGUGGCCGUAACGCGCCCGACUCGAAAUCGGGUUAUCGGUUUACCCCGAUACGUGGGUUCAAAUCCCACCUUCUCCG
rnacentral:tRNA from 1 species